CUCAUUUUUACAACUUAAGUCAACAGCUAUAACUCUGGAUACAAAAAAAUAAAGAGAUCUGUUUGCCAAAGUACAACACAAUUUAAUAUUGAGGAAUUAACAAUUGUUUGCUUUUUGAGAAGGAAUAAAAAGUUUGUUUUAAAGAAUAGGGAAGCAUGUUCAGUAUUAUUUUAACAUGCCAAAUUCAGGCCUGAUUUAAGCAGGUGUUCCCCCCAGCUGAAACUGUGCCUGCUUCCAUUAGUGCCAUGCUUGGCUCAACAACUUCAUUUUCUUAUAUUUUGCCAUACGUUUGGCAGUUACUAUUGAGGCUUUGCUGUAUUUUUUUAAAGUUGAUUGAGCAAACUACUGCAGGUUCCUUCGCUCUCUGGUACCCAUGUUAAUCUGUCCCUCAACCCUCCCUCUACAAUCAGAAAAAUUCAGCAGAGCUCUUAACAAAAUUAAUUACAUUUCAUUAUUGCUUUCACAAAUGUAGAAGGCUUCUGGUUCUCUGUUUCUUGUGCCAAUCAGUGUAGAAAAGCGAAGAUAAAAUUACUUUAAUGUAACCGGUUCAAAAACAUCUCAACACGAAGUGGCUGAUAACUUCCCUUCCAAGAUCACACAGCGUCUUUCUUUGUUGCUUUUCACAUUUUCAUUACAACAUUAUAUAAUCAAAUCAUCUUUUAUUUUGGUCAUAUGCAGAUUCAAAGUGGACUCUUCCUGGACAGCUUUGAGGAAACUCUUAUUCAACAGGAUGUAACUCUUCCUUGAGAUGACAAGUUAUUUAUACAGAAAUUUUUCAUCAAAUGAAGCCUGCUUUAUUUGCUGCCAAAUAUAUGGAAAGCGAGAAGGGAAGUCUGGCCUCAGUGGCUCCUAGGAGACUGAAAGUAGCGAAUAGCAGGAAAAUAUAUACACUAUAAAACUGCUAUUUAAACAAUAGUUUUUCAAGAGUAUCCUGAUGUGAUUUAGAGGUGCAAGUUAACAGGACAGUCAACAGCUCUCAUUUGGGGCUGGUUUAUGUAUGCUACUUUGAGGGUGGCAAUUAAUAGACUUUAAGGCCAGAAGGGAUCAUUGUAAUUGUCUAGUCUGAUGUCCUGCAUAACAAUGCAGCACUUCUCUGAAGUGAUUUCUGCUUCAAGUCCAAAAGCUGUUGAAACAAAGCAUAUAUUUUAAAAAAAGAUCCAAUUUUGAUUUAAAGAUUUCCAGAGAUCAAGAAUACACCACAACUCUUGCUCUUCUCUGAACCCUCUCCAAUUUAUCAACAUCCUUCUUGAACUGCAGACAGCAGAACUGGACACAGUAUUCCCACUCCAGUCGCACUAGUACCAGUUAUAAAGGUGUGGGAUGAUGAGCAGCAGCUACAGAACAUUUGGAUGCGGAAAGCCACUUUCCUGGAACUGUGCGUGGAGCUUGUCCCAGACCUGCAGCGCAAGGACAUCAGAAUGAGAACUGCCCUCUCGGUAGAGAAGUGUGUGGCAAUUGCUAUGUGGAAGCUGGAAACUCCAGAUCGCUACUGGUCAGUCGCGAAUCAAUUUGGAAUGGGGAAGUCGACCGUGGGGCUGCGUUAAUGCAAGUGUGCAGGGAAAUAAAUCAUAUCCUGCUACAAAGGACUGUGCCUAUGGGAAAUGUGCAUGAAAUAGUGAACGGCUUUGAAGAAAUGGGUUUCCCUAACCAUGGAGGAGUGAUAGAUGGCACACAUAUUCCAGUUUUGGCACAGACCACCUUGCAACGGAGUACAUUAAUAGGAAGGGGUACUUCUCCAUGGUGUUGCUGGUGCUUGUGGAUCACCAUGGACAUUUCAUUGACAUCAGCGCAGGGUGGUCUGGGAAGGUGCAUGACGCAUGCAUAUUCAAGAACACCGGCCUGUACAGAAAGCUGCAAGCAGGGACUUUCUUUCCUAACCAGAAGAUUAUAUUGGGGGGAGGGGGGAGUGUUGAAAUGCCCAUAGUGAUCCUGUGUACCCUUUACAGGCAUGGCAAAUGAAACUUUACACAGGAGACCUGGACAGCAGUAAGGAGCGGUUCAACCACAGGCUCAGUAGGUGCCAGCUGACAUGUGCCUUUGACAGACUAAAGGCGCACAGGCAAUGCCUUUAGGGCAGGUUGGACCUCACCAAGGAUAAUAUUCAUAUGGUCAUAGCUGCAUGCUGUACGUUGCAUAAUCUCUGUGAAGCUAAGGGUGAAAGGUUUGCUCAGGGGUGGAGUGCUGAGGCAGACCCCUUGUCCGCUGAUUUUGAGCGGCCAGAUAACAGGGCUGUCAGAGGAGAGUUAUUCGAAUCAGUGAGGCUUUAAGACAGCACUUUGACAAUGACCACCAAUAACAUAUCUCUGUCUGAGCUGCUUCAAUGUUACAUGACAUGUAGUUUUCCUAGGAGGCAAUGGUGACAGUUGGGGCCUUAUAUUCCUGUAAUAAAGUGAUUAAAAUGCCUGUGCAUGUAUCGGCAGUGCCUGCAAUCUCACCUUGUCGAAAAAAAAAUAAAGAUGAUUUACCAUU